GUGCCAGCCGCCGCGGUAAUACCGGCAGCCCGAGUGAUGGCCGAUAUUAUUGGGCCUAAAGCGUUCGUAGCCGGCCGGACAAGUCCGUUGGGAAAUCUGCGCGCUCAACGUGCAGGCGUCCAGCGGAAACUGUUCGGCUUGGGGCCGGAGGACUCGAGGGGUACGUCCGGGGUAGGAGUGAAAUCCCGUAAUCCCGCACGGACCACCGAUGGCGAAAGCACUUCGAGAAAACGGAUCCGACAGUGAGGGACGAAAGCCAGGGUCUCCAACCGGAUUAGAAACCCGAGUAGUCC
rnacentral:rRNA from 1 species